rnacentral:rRNA from 1 species
GACGAACGCUGGCGGCGUGCUUAACACAUGCAAGUCGAACGGAAAGGCCCUGCUUUUGUGGGGUGCUCGAGUGGCGAACGGGUGAGUAACACGUGAGUAACCUGCCCUUGACUUUGGGAUAACUUCAGGAAACUGGGGCUAAUACCGGAUAGGAGCUCCUGCUGCAUGGUGGGGGUUGGAAAGUUUCGGCGGUUGGGGAUGGACUCGCGGCUUAUCAGCUUGUUGGUUGGGUAGUGGCUUACCAAGGCUUUGACGGGUAGCCGGCCUGAGAGGGUGGCCGGCCACAUUGGGACUGAGAUACGGCCCAGACUCCAACGGGAGGGAGGAGUGGGGAAGAUUGCACAAUGGGCGGAAGCCUGAUGCAGCAACGCCGUGUGCGGGAUGACGGCCUUCGGGUUGUAAACCGCUUUCGCCUGUGACGAAGCGUGAGUGACGGUAAUGGGUAAAGAAGCACCGGCUAACUACGUG